rnacentral:lncRNA from 10 species
AUUUACUUUACCGAGAAACCUAUAUAGUUAAAUAAAACAGAAUACAAUGUUAUUCCAAAGGUUUUAAAACAAACUAUAUAUUUGAUUAAUCUAUUAGCUUCCCACACCAAAACUGUAAGAAUAAUCUUGAACAAAAGCAAAAGUCACAACACAAAGAUAAACUGAAACAAAGAAUACAUUGUUCAGUUAUCUCAUUUAUUCUUUAUUUGUUUUUGAGACAAGGUCUGGCUCUAUCACCCAGGCUGGUGUGCAAUGGCACAAUUUUGGCUCACUGAAAACUCUGCCUCCGACUCAGGCACUCCUCCUACCUCAGCCUCCCAAGUAGCUAGGAUUACAGGUGCAUACCACCACACCAGGCUAAUUUUUGUAUUUUUAGUAGAGAUGAGGUUUCUCCAUGUUGCCCAGGCUGGUCUCGAAUUCCUGGGUUCAAGCUGUCCACUGACCUUGACCUCCAAAAAUGCUGGGAUUAUAGGUAUGAGCCACCGCAUCCAGCUAUUCUGUAUUUAUUUUGAUUGUGUAAAAUCUGAAUUUUAUUUUGUAAGAUUUAAACUGUGAUCAAUUAAGCAAAAAAUUUCAACCAAAUUAUUUAAUAAAUACUUAUUCUGACAGUCUUUAAACAUGGCCUGUUUGUUUACUAACCCUCCCUUUUAUUCAUGCUCUGAUAACUCUGUUCUCUCUCUUUGCUGCAAUUUAACAAACACACACUCUCUGUCUCUCUUUCUCAUCCAUGUCUCUAUCUCUCUAUUUGUCUACUAUAAAUGUAUAUAUUUGGAGAAACUGAGAACCCAGAAUAUUAAAUGAUAUGCUCGAAGGUCACAUAGCUCACUUUUCAAUGAGUCAUGUAUAGAGUUCAGGAAUCUAAUCUCCUAUUUGGUGCCAAGUUACCCCUUAAUUCCUAAGUACAGAGCAAUUUCCCAGCCAUUUUAAAAUUAUGAGCAGAUGUUAAAUGAGCAAUGAACUAUGAAAUUGUAUAAACAUGAAUAAAGUUUAGAGUGGUAAUCAAAUAAAACCUAUAACAAGUGCAUUUAGCACGUGCUUAAUUGUAUGCACAAUCCAUAUUGUACCGCAUGGUAAUUGUAUAUAAAUAGUAAGCAAAGAUCAUAAAAGACUGCCAUUAGUCUUUUAAAUGGACAAUUAUAUUGUUUCAGCUCCUUAAUUGUUUAAGGCCUAAGUUAUUAGUUAUUCUUGAUUCUGGCUUACCUUUAGCUGUGUUCAGUCAAGCUGUAUUUAGAAUGAUUUCAUAAGGUGCAAACACAUACACCUUCACAGGAGCAUUUUGAAGAUAUGCUAUAGAUAAUUGAAAAAAGCAAUCUCUUCAAAAGCACCAUGGGGGCAGGAAAGGCUUCUGAAAAAUCCAGGAGCAUAGACCAAGUCUUAAGGGGAGUUAGAACAGUUUCCAGCAGUGAACGAUUUUCAUCAAAAAAAAUAGUACAAAAAAGUUUCUAACUCUCUUGUUGCUUCAAGUAACAGAGCUUUACCAACUGGGACUGCUGAGCUCAAGGUUAAGGUAAAAGUACAAUGAUAAGCAGGGCAAGAGCAAGGAAUUAAACUUGAAAAAUUCUGGAGCCCAACGAGGAAGCAAAGGGAGCGGCAGGUUGAAUGACUGUGAAUCACACUGGCUCCUUGCCAGUCACUGCCAAAAUACAUGCCAUGCCCAUCUCACUCUUUGCUCCCCCUUAAGUUUAGAAUCAUGAAAUCCACACAUGACAAGUUAAGGGAGGACCACUGGCUACACCUUGCUUUGUGAUACUUUUACUAGUUUUCACAUAACACAAGAGGAUACUAUUUUCUUAGAAUAAACAUCAUUUCUUACUAUUUGUCUGCUGCUAUUUAACUAAUUUGCUGCUUUUUGGUUUAAGGAAAAUUUUAUCUUAAAUGAACAGGGAACAACAAAAUAAACUAUAAUAGUACAAUUGUUACAUAACUAUUUUGAAAUUCUUUGAAGGAAAAGAUUAUUUCAGGAGUUGUUGACUCAUGAUCAGAAACGUCAAAAAGGAUAGGUAAAUGUUGAGGAUUAAGGAUGAGCAUUUUAGAAAAAUAAUUUAUCAGACUCACUAUGACAGAGCUUUUGUUUUUGUAGCCUAUUAAUGAGUCAUGAAACCAAUUCAAUGGAUCACAAUGAGCAUUUAAGUGGUAACUAGAAUAGAAUAAAAAACCAACGGAAACUGCUAGUGCGUGAUACACGGUAAAGAUAAAUAUUGUUUGAGGAAACAUUUGCUUUUAGUUCAUGAAUGUGUGGUGGUGUGUGUGUGUGUGUGUGUGUGUGUGUGUUCUGGCUCACAGCUAUGGACUAAAUGUGUCUCCCUCAAAUUCAGGUGUUGAAGCCCUGAUCACCAGUGUGAUGGUAUUUGAAGGGGAGGCCUUUGGGAAGUAAUUAGGUUUACGUGAGGUUUUGAGGAUAGAGUCCCCAUGAUGGAAUCAUAAGAGCUCUUAUAAAAAAGAGGGAAAAACAGCGAGUUUCUUUCUCUCUCUCUCUCUUUCUCUGCCUGUAUGCACAAAAGUAAGGCAUGUGAGGACAUAACCAGGAGAAGGACCCUCACCAAGAACACAACCAUGUUGGCUGGUGUCUUGAUCUUCAACUUCCAGCCUCCAGAACCAAGAGAAAUCAGUUUGUUGUUUUAGCCUAUAAUAAUUUGUUAUACCAGCUGAAUUAAAACAUUCACUAUGCUAAUUUGUUAUUUGAGUUAAAACAAACAAACAGACAAACAAACAAUCUACAGCUUUCAAGAAAUAGCCACUUUGAAAAUCAUUACCCUACCUCCCCCACCCCUGGUGUAAAUUGAAAAGGACAAAUGCCUAGGAAUGAACAAACUGUCCUUUGGGUGGUAAAGUCCCAGGAACCCACCAAAACUUUACUUCUCAAUCCUACUUUAUUCUCACUGUGUAAAAGUCCUUUCUUCCUAACUUGAUUUCUAUUUUUAAUGUUCUCUCACAUGCACACAAAAAAGCACCACACUCAGUGACGCUCACACAAAAAGUGUCCCACAAUACAUUGUACUUACUAAUGCUAAUGAGCUUAACUUCUUUUUAACAGCUUGCUUUUUUUUUUUUUUUUUGCUCAUAAUUAUUUAAAAUUGGUACACGUUUUUCGGAAUUACGAAUCUAUAACAAUGAUGGCCAAUUGCUAUCCACUCACUUUUUCUAUUUUAAAAGUCACUCCUCCUAUUUUAAUCUAAAUAUAUCUACACCAAACACAUACACACAUAUGCACACACCAACCACAGGAACAACAGGAAACCUUUGGAAAAUCAUUAUUGUCAACAGGCUUCAGGACCAUCCCCCUACUAUUUUCUAUUCAUGCAUAAAUGGGCAGAAAAGCAGCAUUCCAUCUGGCUUAUCCCACUGGGUUUCAAAUAUGCCAUCUGACCCAUAUUCCAGAAUUCUAUUCAUCUCUUCCAACUACCUCAUAAGACUGCAAAAGAAACUUUGAAUCUACCUGAUACCAUGAGAAGUAUUUAUUGAAGAGUUAUUCAUUAAGGUCAUGUUUUUAUACAAUCCUUAUUCUAAAUCAUGGUUAUUUUGUGAUAUCUCACUCCUGAAUCAUUUGCCCCUGUGGAAUGAGAGUCACUACUUUUCAACACAGUGGAAGAGUGAGCUGGCUCACCUCUCCCUGUGAUAAAAGAAUGACCAAUACUAAUGCUGGCAGAGGUGGGAAACUCCUAUGUGAGUUUUCGGAGAAAGAAAUGGUAUAUAUAUAUCACAUACUUACAGCCGUAUGUCUGUAGAAAAUGACUUAUAAUACAAAAUUAUCCUAUAGUAGCUAUCAAAACUAGAAUUUGUCUAAGGUUUUUAAUAUAAAAUGUCCUAUACGCAAUGAACAAUGGAUUUACAAAGGAUGAGCUACUUAGCUUUGUUAACAUUAUUGGAUUUUUAAAAAAUCUUUUGCUGUCCCAGGUUAAUAAAUAAAAGCGAUAGUGAAAGUUAAUAGUCCUUCUGUUAGGAGAGUUUUUUUAUCCAAAUAAUGUAUGGAGCAACAAAUAUGUUAUGUGAAGAAAGUGUUUGGUGUUAAAAGUCAGAGAGUGUAGCUCAGAGAGGCUUAAGUGAUUCUGUGUGACUCAAGAUUGAUGCAAGUAAUAAUAUGGGUUAAGGGGCAGGUGGAGGUAGCAAAGAGGGCAAUAAGUUUGUUUAAUGGAAUGUCUUUCUCCUAUAUUAUUGAUGAAAGAGAAGGCUGUUAUCUGCUGGUACACAGUUAACUUUAUAUAUUUCUUUGUUUUCUUGUUCACAGAAUUAUAGUUUCUUAGAAUAUGUGCAAUCACUAAAACCCUAAUAUCUUUAUCAAUGUGUAAGAUCAAUGUUUUUUUCUAGGUGCUUAAGUACACUGAUUCAUUUUGAAGGACCAGUAAAAUAACAACAUAUUAAAUGUGCAUAUCAGAUUUCUCAAAUUAUUUCAUGUUAUGAGUUAAAAUUUGCAUAGCUAUCUGUAAUCCAUGUAUUUUUAUUAUGGUAAAUUAUAUUUAUUAAAAAUUCCAGUCAACCAUUUAUAUGUACAGUUCAGUGGCAUUAAGUAAAUUCAUAUUAUUGUAUAUCCAUCAUCAUUAUCUAUCCUAAGAACUUUUUUCAUCUUUUCAAACUAAAACUCUAUACCAUACUCAUUAAACAAUGAACUCCCCAUUGCCCCUCUCCUCAGCCCCUGGUAUUUAUCACUCUACUUUCUGUCUCUAUGAAUUUGACUGCUCUAUGUACCAUAUUUAAAUAAAAUCAUGCAGUAUUUGUCUUUUUGUGACCGACUAAUUUCACUUGGCAUAAGGCAAUCAAAGCUCAUCUUGUAACAUGUGUCAGAAUUCCCUUAUUUUUAAGGUUGAAUAAUAGUCCAGUGUACAUAUAUCCCACAUUUUGUUUGUCCAUUUAUCUGUUAAUAAACAUGCAUUGCUUUCACAUUUUGAUUAUUGUGGAUAAUGUUGUUAUGAACAUGGGUAUAUAAAUAUUUGUACAAAUCCUUGCUUUAAAUUUUUUGGGUAUACACCUAGAAGUAUAACUGGCGGAUCAUAUGGUAAUUCUAUUUUGAACAAUAUUGAACAAAAGUUAGAAACCUGGAUCCCUACAUUUGCUUAUUUGUUCAAUUCUGGUAUACUUGUGUAGCAGCUUCCAAAUUGCUAACCUGUACCCACCACAAUGGAAAAACCUUUAUUAAUUAUAGUAUUGUGUUUAUAUAUAGUUUCUUUUGCCUUUAAGCUUGUAGACUCCACUCAUUUCCAAAGAUAUUUAGGUCAUUAUCUUAUCCUCUAUCCCCUUCAGUGAGGUUAUUUCAUAUACUUAUAGUGCACUUAGAUCUUUAUACUACAUUUCACAUUCCAUCCUGGAAUCCAAAACCUCCUAAAGUUUUUGGUUUUAAUUUAUAUACUUUAAGAUUCACUCUUUGUACUGUAAAUUUCCAAAAGUUUUCAGAAAUUCAUGGUGUUAUGCAUUCAACAUUACAAUAUCAUACAGAAUAGUUCACUGUUCUAAGAUAUACCGUUUGUUUCACUUGCCCAAUCUUCCCCUCUUUCCCUGAUCUACUGACAACCACUAAUCUGUUUUACCAUCUCUACAGAAUUCCUUUUCCAGAAUAUCAUAUAAGUGGCAAAUACUCUAUAGCGUCUUAAGACUAUCUUCUUUCGCUUACCUAUAUGUACUUGUUAUUGAACUAUAUCUUUCAAGAUUGGAUGUCUCAGUCCUUUUUAUUGUUAAAUAGUAUUUCAGUGUUUGAAUGUAGCGUGGAUAAACUAUUCCCCUAUUGAAGGACAUCUUGGUUGCUUUUAGUUCUUGGAAACUAUGACUGAAAAAUCCAUAGACAUUUGCAUGCAGGUUUUUGUGUGGACGUAAGUUUUCAAAUCAUGUGUAUAAAUAUCUGUAAGAACGAUGGCUAGAUUAUGCAGUAACACUAAGUUUAGCUUUGUAAGAAACUGCCAUGCUGUCUUUCAAAAUGGGUGCACCAUUUUCUACUUCCACCAGCAAUGAAUGAAAGUUUCUGUUUAGGUUUUGUUUUUAACUAGCAAUUUGUCAAUUUCAGAGAUAACUGAAUAAAGAAACAAAAUUCUAUUCUGCAUUAAACCUGCAUUUGAAACCUCCUCAGUGAUUCCUUUAUAUGACAUAAAUCAAGGACAAGGUUUUGGAGGGAAGAAAACCUCUGUCAACUCACAAUACAGACUGAAAAACCACUGCUGGAAAGAAGCUUAGCUCCCGAUACACCCAGGAACUGAGUAACAUUUGUCAUCUCUAUUUACUAUUUUACUGAGACUCCUGUUCUGUCCCUACCAAUCUCACAAACACACCCACACACAUACAGUCUCUCAUUAUUUUCUGGAAACUAUUAUUUGUUGUUCUGAGGCAUCUGGGACUGGCACAAAGAAACUAAGAACAUAUCUGUUUCUUCUGUUUGACCUUCAUUCCCAAUGGAAGCUUGAAAAGCCAGGAUGGGUGUGAAAGAGGAACCUAGAAAUUCUAUCCCCUAUCUCGCCCACCCUCCCCUACAUUCUCUAGGAGAUGUGCGUCUAUAGUAUCAGCAACUACUUUUCCGUUCUUCCCUGCACACCCAUGCCUGGCGAAGCUAUCUCCAGAAUUAGGAAUCUCUACCCACAACCUAGAGCUAGCUAUCUCCAACUUAUAAAAGAAAUGUGUACUAGACACAGGGAGGGGAACAGCACACACCGGGGCUUAUUGCGGGGGGCAGGGGGAGAGAGAGCAUCAGGAUAAAUAGCUGAUGCAUACAGGGCUCAAUACCUAUGUGAUGGGUUGAUAGGUGCAGUAAACCACCAUGGGACAUGUUUACCUAUGUAACAAACCUGCACAUCCUGCACAUGGAUCCUGGAAUUUCAAAUAAAAUUAAAUUAAAUUUUAAAAAAUUUAAAAAACCCAAAUGUGUAAAAAAUUACUCUUUUAUCUUUUAUCCACUAAAAUUUACUGAGCACCUAAAAUGUACCAGUAACAAAUAAUUAGCACAUGUUACUGCAAAAUACCUUUACUAUCAUCAUCACAAUUGGCAUUAUUAUAAUAUUACCAGAAAUCCACAAAUGUUUAUUAAAACACAACUAUUGGAGAAAUUGCAGUGUAGUGGUAGGAAAGACUAUCUUUGUCCUACACUUAAUGGAACUUAUAGUCUAUUGAAAUAAUAAAAAAAUUUUACAUGGUAGAUUUCAAUUUAAAAAUGCAUUCAGUUGCACCAUCUAUUUUCUCUUUAUGACAUGUUAAACUCUUAAAUACCGAAUAUUUAACUUCUCUUAUUUUCCUAUUUUAUCAUAAACAUAAUCCUCUGGUUUUACUCAUCCAGCUGCUUGUACCAUGAUACCUAUCAUUUAAUCAUAUUAUCACAAAGAUACUACUUUCUGGAGCAUCUGUCUGGGAAGGUUAUUCGAGUUUAAGGAUGCUGCAGUUACAAUGGCACAUUUAGUUAUAAAUAUUCCCUGCAUAAGCAGCUGGCCGUAGAAUACACAAGCUCAGGAGGGAGAGCUGGGCUGGAGACUUGAAAUUAAUGAGUCAUGUUGUUGGUAGAUGAGGCCAUUGAUAAAACCACCCAGGAAAGGGAAAAAAUUAGGUGAGAACGGGGAGAGAACCUAAGGAUUUACGUCUAAGAAACAGAUGGGAUUGGUCAAAGGAGAAGCUUGCCUAGGAGACAUGUAAGACUAGUCUGUGAUACAUGAGAAAUUAGGAGAUUGUGCCCUGGAUGGGAGCUUACAAGAGCAGAGAGUGGUCAAACAUGAUUAAGAUACUAGACUAAAAAAUUUCAAAGUAGUUUCUGCAAUUAGGGUAUUAAUGGUGACCCACAACAAGUGACUUCAGGGAGCUGGAAUUGAUUUUGUGUUUCAAGAGUGAAUGUGGUCAGGAAGUGAAGAGAGCCAGACUGUAUGAUUAUAUUUGACAACAUCAAGAGUACAUUUUUAUUUUAUUUUUUUGUGUCCACACUUCUAAAAGUCAAAUAUUCUCUCUCUUUUCUAAUCUCCUCCCCUUCCCUUCCUUCCCCUCUCUUUUCUCUUUCUCUCUCUCUCUCUCUCUCUCUCCUAUCUUUGGUACCCUGAGACUACUUACCAGUAUUCUUCAGACACUAGAAUGCUGGAGUAAGAAUUUGAUUGACAGAAAAAAAAGUUGAAAUUAUAUAAUUCUUUAUAAAUGUUAAGUUUUACUUCCCUGGUACUGGAUUCAACAUGUGGAAGGAGUUAGGUGUUUGCUUCACAUUUCUGCUUCUCUGGUAGUCAGCUAAAACCAAUUUGGUAAAUAACACUGCUCUCUGGGGGAACUGAAUGCCAAGAUUGGCAGCUAGUUCACUGAGUUCUCUCUGAAGUGGUUCAAGAAAGAAAAAAAAAUUCUGAUCUCUAUGGAGCAUUCUUCUAAAAACAGAUAUAUCAACCCAAUGAAAAAUUCUUCACCAAAGCAUUUAUAGAGCAAACUUCCUGGUAUUGAAAUUUUGACAUGGUAGACCAAUCUAGGGAGAUUUAUACUUUUACUUUUAUCCUAAAAAAACAGUAUCAUAAAUUAUUCCAAAACGAUUCCUUCUCUAUUUACAACACUACUUGGAAUAUGUUCUGGAACAUGAGUUAAGUGAUUAUUUCACCCUUUUCUACAUAUUUGAUGUAGCUCCCUGAAUCUCUCCUAGUUUAAUAAAUUCUCCACAUUAUGCAAAUAAACUCAUACAACAGUGCCUAACACAGAAGAAGCAUUCAUUAAAUAUUAAGUAUUUUGGGUGAGAGGCAAAUCGUAUGUCUUCCUUGAAGCUGAAAUGCUCUGUGAUUGCUUUUCAACCUCUUUGUGCAUCUAGGAUGCAGACACAUAACCUAGAUUUUAGCAUAAGAAACACCCUCUAUGGUUUUUGAAUUGAAAUACACUGACAGAAGGAUAUUAAAGAAACAGGGGCAACAGAAAAUACAUUCUGAUGGCCAAGAGUGGCCAUGGGGCAAACGUGCUGAUUUCUGGGGCAAAAGUAGCAGUGCUUUUAAGAGCAGUCUAAGAUGUCCAUAGAAGCUGGAUCAUCCUGUGUUCAGUGGUAGAGACCUGUUCCUCUUCUGUGCCGUGAAUUUGGCUAAGUUCUUGACUGCACCCUAGCAUCCUUCGUCCUACUCUUUUUCUGUACUUCAUUUUCAAUAUUUUGGGUGUUUUGUGAUCUCACACUGUUUUUAAAAAUUUAUUUUCUGCUUAAACUGGAGUCAGACUUUUUAGCCUACAGCUAAGAACCCUGAUAGAUACAAUUGCUAUAUACAUCAGAACUCAGAAACAGUCACUAAGGACCUUAUCAAAUUUGCCUGACUAUAUAUUAUUAAUACCUCAAAACAAUUCAAGUGUGGUAUACCAAUGUGAAAAUAAUGUUUAUUCUUCAGAUCUUGCAACUAAAUGAGAUAUAAAUGCUUGGUUACUUAAAACAUCAAUUUGGUGACUGAGACCAUAGAAGGUCAUGUUUGAUUUCCACCAAUGGAGAUGGUUUGUUCAAACUCAAUGGGCCACUUUCUGGCUGAUUUCUGGUGAUGACCGCUGAAAAGCAUGUUGAUUUAAAAAAAAAAAAAACUGCUUAAUAAUGUCCCAAGCAAUAUUUCCAGCCUCUGUACUUUAAGGACCGUUUUGAAUGUGAUCUCCAGACACUACCUAUUUGUUUACUUUCACAGCUCUGUGAUUACCGCCCUUCCUGAUGGACCACUGUCCUACCUCAAUACCUUUGUUGCCAAAGCAGGAAUUUUCUAGCUAAUAAGGAAGUCCAUUGAAAAUGUGUGCCAGUUUCUUCCUGUUGAAGCUGGAAGACUGAGCUCCAUAAUUCUUUAAGAGGAAGGGUAUGUUUCUGGGUUUAGCUCAAAAUAAAUCUUUGUUUUGGAAAUAUCAUGCAGAACAUGUAUCUUUUUCUUUUUUUCAUCAUUUAUUUCUUUUAUUUUUUUUUACUUUAUUUUAGUUUCUGGGAUACAUGUGCACAACAUGCAGGUUUGUUACACAGGUAUACAUGUGCCAUGGUGGUUUGCUGCACCCAUCAACCUAUUAUCUAGGUCAUCUAGGUUUUAAGCCUCACAUGCAUUAGGUAUUUUCCUAAUGCUCUGCCUCCCCUUGACAUAUGUCUUAAUAUGCUAAGCUUACUCAGUAUAAGAAGAAUUUUCUCUUGAUGUAUUUAUUAUAUGGGAUAAAACAUAGAAGUCAUCUAGAAGCCUAAAAUUUAAAAGCCCAUAUUGAUACUUUGAUAGUAUUUUUGAGUAAGUGAAAUUCAUAUAUUUCUGCAUGGGGAAGAGAAAGAUCCCCCACUCUCUAUAUGCAAACAAAGUGGCUUCAUUUUCUCAAAUUGGAAGCAAUAUUAGCCAAGAAAUGCCCUUGAUACCCACUUGCUACCAGAAAGAGUAAUUAUACAAAGAAGAUAACCCCCAGCUGGUGUGUAGAUAAACAGAUUCUUCAUAAAGUUGACUUAUUUAAUAACCUAUGAAUACAAUUGGAAAAGUUAUCUUUCAGUGUUCAGCUGAACUUAUAAAGAAUACUAUACUUUACCAACACUAUUUAAUUAGCAAGAUAGACACAUCAUAAAAUCCAAUAUAAUUUAGAUAAAACCAUUGUAGGUAUGACAUAUAACCUAGAAGUUUCACCCUCAGGGUUUGCAUUUAACCAAACUUUUGUUUUAUUUUUAGGAAAAUUUCAUCCACAUUAAUGGAUGUUCUUUUCAGUUUGACACUCCUCAAUUUUUUAAAAAGAAAGCAAAGUCUACUGUAAGCUCAGCUGACGGUUUAAAGAUAUGAUUUUAUUCUUUUUCAGAACAACAUUAAGAUCUGCUUUCCAGUAUUUGUCAAAAAGCAUACUCAGUUCACUGCUAUAUAACACUCAUUGAAACCUGCCACAGAAUUUUUAGAGUAGUGAAACUACAGUGUGUAAUACUAUAAUGGUGGAUACGUGCCAUUAUAAAUUGGUAUCAACCCAAAGAAUCUAAAACACCAAGAGUAAUCCCCAAUGUAAACUGUGGAUUUUGGUGAUAAUGGCUUUGGUAUGAAUGUAAGUUCAUCAGUUGUAGUACAUGUACCACUCUAAUGGAGGAAUGUUGAUAAUGGGGGAGGCUAUGCAUAUAUGGGGACAUCUCUCUACCUUCCAAUAAAUUUUGCUGUGAACCUAAAAAUGCUUUAAAAAAACAGUCUACUAACAGCAAAAACAACAACUUGGCUGAAAUGAAUAAUUUCUAUAGAAUAUUGCCUAAGAGAAAUCUAAACAUUCCAUUCAUUUAUCAAUCAAUUUACAUUAUUGCUUUCUAUUUUUUAACAAAAGCUCUGGAACACUCUAAACAAACAAGGCCUUGUGUAAGCAGUUACUAUGUAAUAGAGAUGAAAGUAGAAUAAUCUUAGUUGGAGUGCAAAGAGAAAGCCUUGAUUCUAGCCACUGAAACCCUGGAAUCCCAUAGAUCUGGAUAGCAGAGUUUGGAAAACAUGACACUGAAUACUGUAAUCCAGAUUGAUGUGUUAAAAUGUUCCAUUGAAGAUUGUAUACCAGGGACGUGCUGUUUUGAAUUCUCACCACCUAGGAUUUAAUUUAUUGCAUUGCAUAUGCUGCAUAGCAUGGGUCAUUGGAUGUAUUUCUGACAGAUACAACCCUCUAAAACUCAUCACUGUGUUUAUUAUAAUUACAAUGUGAAGAUGUUUGCCAUAGUUGCCAUGCAACUCCUCUUUACUCACAGGAAACUGUAUUUCACAUAUCACAGCUAGGAAUAAGUGUACCCAGGUGGAUCAGUUUGUUUCCCUCUUUGGGACACUGAGACACAUGCAUAAUGUGUUCCUCAUUUGCAUUGGUUGCUAACAAGAUCAAGGACAAAUUUGUGGCUAAAAUCUAGCAAGGAUAUAAUUACUUCUGGCCAUAUUUUUUGUGCUAAUUAUUAAUUUCAUGUACUCUGCUUGUAUCUUUAAUUUUGUUUGUUAUUGCUUUUUUAGACUCUAAUUUUAUCUUUAACCUGUUUCAUUUCCUCAACCAAAAAAAUGAAAUCUGUUUGUAUUAUUAUCAUUGGAACAGAAAAGAUACAAGUUCAAUAAAAUAAUAUAAAAACCUACAACUCAUUGUUCCUCAUCCUCUUGAAGUCUUAAUUGUAUUUAUUUCAUAUAGUGAUAUGGUUUGGCUGUGUCUCCAUUCAAAUCUCAUCUUGAAUUCCCACUUGUUGUGGGAGGGACCCGGUGAGAGGUCAUUGAAUCAUGGGGACAGACGUUUCCUGUGCUGUUCUUGUGAUAGUGAAUAAGUCUCACAAGAUCUGAUUCUUUUAAAAAGGGGAGUUUCCUUGCACAAGCUCUUCUUUUGUCUGUCACCAUGUGAGAAGUGCCUUUCACCUUCCACCAUGAUUGUCAGGCCUCCCCAGCCAUAUAGAACUGUAAGUCCAAUAAACGCUCCUUCUUUUGUAAAUUGCCCAGUCUUGGUCUUUAUCAGCAGUGUGAAAAUGGACUAAUACAUAUAGAAACUUCUGAAGUUUUUCUUUCUUUUCUCAAUAUUUAUCUUCAACAAAUCCACUCAUUCCUAAACUGUCCUUACACAUAAAUGCACACACACACACACACACACACUCACACCCCAUAUAAAACGCUCCCAGGUUUUCAAAUAUUUGAUGUGAUCUUGAACAGCUCGUUGUGGACAGUCCUUUUUCCUCAAAGAUAAUUUAGGUAGAACCAUUUGUCUUCCACUUUUAAUUCAAAUACUUCCUAGGUUCCCAGUUUGGAGCAAAAACAUGAAAUUCAAAAUGCUUUCAAAACCUUAAUAAUUUGGCAGAGCAAAUAAAUAAUAAAGGCAGCCACUAGUGUCCUUGUACUUUAUUAGAAGAAUACUUAAUGGCAGAGCUUUCUGAAAAUGUUUUCAGAAGCUAGGCAGACACACCAAAGAGAGUUAUGAUACACAUACAGAUAUAAGAUAUGUAAAUUGAGUUGAACUUUGUUUGCAUCUAUCAACCUAUCCUCAAUGAAGUUAACCAUGAAUUUCAUAAAGCUCUGCUAUAGUAAUUGGUAUAUCUAAAAUAGUAAUGUUUCUCCCAGGAAUGGUCUGUUGGAAGCAACAAUUUCAACAUGGAGGAGAACAGAAAUUUAACAUUAUCACUUCCAACCAUAUUUCAAGGGAAUCGGGCAGUUUCUAUGCCAUCAGUUGAUUGACCAAAUUAACAAACAAUACUCAACUGUCCUUAAAUACUUAAAUAAUUUUAUUAGAAAUAUUCUUCUUAAAGCAUCAGGCUCAAAAAACUAUCUAGUUGAAAAUAAAUAUUUCCCAAUGUUAAAAAAUUAUCUGCUUAAUAGUCAGAGAGCCUAGCAGAUCCCCAGGGAUAAUUAGACAGAAUCGCACUAUGGAAACUCGGAGGCACAUCAAGCAGAUAAUUUCUAAUACAUUUUAAGCAGAGGCUCUCCACUUUUGGCCUGUAAUUAUUUCCCACACAAUAUGAUCCUUCCCAGGGCAGAAUUUUUGAAUAUAAACAUAACUUACAGUGGGAACCACUAAUGAAGGAGCAAUGCUUAGUGCUAUCUAGCACAAGGACAUGCAUAAAUAAUAAUCUCAAAAUGCAAAAACAGAAUGAACUACUCUAUUAUUCAAGAGUCAUGGUGCUCAAUACAUUAGUAUCCCCCAAACUAAUGACAUCAAGUAGACUUUUAGUCUGGCUAAAACUUUCUAACCCACAAAAGCAAUAUAGAUAAAUUUAUCUUUUUCAAGUUUGUGAUAUUUUAUAAUUUACUGUAUAACUUUAAGCAACAUAUUCGUAGUAUUUCUAUCAAAGCCAGCAUUUUAAUCAAACCAAAUUUUCUAAAAUAUUGAUUUAUGCAUUGAAUAUUUUGUGUAAAUUAAUCUAGUGUUUUAUUUAGAGUAAUUGUAUUUAUCUCUGAUUUUCUUAAAAUUCUGCCACAGGACAAACUCUGUAGAUAGAUUUCAUAGACUCUAGAUCCAACAUAAUAUUUAUAAAGCCCACUAGACAAUAAAUGAUGACAAAGAAAGUUAAUGAUUUUUUAUACUCCACCUGGAGCCAAGACCAAGAUAGGAAAUGAAGCACCUUAUUGCUUUCUAGUUUUUUUUCCUGGUUUCCUAAGUGAAAGAAUAAAGGAAUCUUGGCUUCGUUGGGGGAGUUGGGAGGAAAGGAUGCGUGCUCAUUGGCAAUAGGGGCAGCUGUCUGAGCUGACCUUUCACCUCCCCUUAAAUGUAUAACUGGCCUUAGCAGAGCACACAUACAUGUUUACUCCAAAUUUGGCAGAUGCUAUCUUGGAAAUGCUACUUGAGAUGCCUUCAUCCCUCAUGACCCCUGUGUUGUUUCUAGUUUCACUUAUUUUUUUUACUGUCCCUCUAGUUUAUCUAUUUAAAGAAAGAAAAAUAUUUCUUAUCUUCAUGUUUUAUUUAAUAUUUUUGGUGUUCUGAAUUGGGAAAACCUGUUCACAACAUCUUGCUAGCAUAAUUCCAAAAAUUAUAAAUUACAUUUUUUUAUUGUAGCAACUUUUCACAUAUUUUAGUCUUUUCCCUCUAUAGAAUACUUGAUGAGGCAAAACGUGAAUUAUAUCUAUGUGCCCUCAUGAAUUAGACAUGUCCAGGGCUGCAAUUAUUCUACUUCCCAAAGAAGAGGUUGAGAUAAACAAUAGUGAGGAUUUUUAAGACUGUCUUUUGUUGUAUUGCUAUUUCCAUCAGAAUGAAGAAUAAACUCUAAUACUACUCACGUGGUUUUGCUCUGUGUUCCCACCCAAAUAUCACCUCAAAUGGUAAUCCCUUCGUGUCGAAGGAAGGAUUUGUUGGGAGGUGAUUGGAUCAUGUGGGCAGUUUCUCCCAUGCUGUUCUCGUCACAGUGGGUGAGUUCUCAUUUCCUUGCUUCCUCGCUCUCUCUCUCCUGCAGCCUUGUGAAGAAGGUGCUUGCUUCCGCCUUUGCCUUCCGCCAUGAUUGUAAAUUUCCUGAGACUUCCCCGGCCAUGUGGUACUAUGAAUUCAAAAACUAGGGCCCAGUUGUUGGGAGAUAUUCAACCAUCAGAUCUGUUAGCAGCUCUGUGGAGAAAAACAAGGCAACUCAAAACAACUCAAAAUGACAAGAGUUUCUGUCAACUUCAUCUCAUAAGAAUCGCGCCAUUUUGACAAGAUAAAGGAUGUGUGAUGCAUAGUUUUAUUUGGGUCUCUGGAUUACAAUAAAGGAAGACGUCCUACAUAUAUUAUUGUAAUUUUAAGGUAGAGUCAGUGAGAAAAAAUUAUUUUGGAAAUAUGGGACAUAUAAACAUAUUUCAACAACAUUUCAUGUUGAAAAUUUCAUGUAAAGAAGUUCAUGUAAAAAUGUUAUCUGCUAAGUACAAUGGUGGACCUAUUAAAAAAUAUAAAUUGGAAAAAAAAAUCUUAUUCCUCAUUCCUUUCUGAAACUAACCUUAUCACACAAAGCAUGUGUCUUCAUAUAUUUUGCUAAGCCUCUCCAUUCAAUUUAAUAAUGAAAUAAGAAAGACUAAAUUAUCCACUCCAACAUUUGUAAAACGUGGUUGGACUUGUUUGCCAUGAGAAAGAAUUGUUUUCCUAAGCAUAUUUAGUAUUCUUUCAGUCCUUUAACUUCCUGGCCUCUAAAUGUGGAAUGAAUGGUUCUAUCUAUAAACUUAUAAAUAAUAACCUAAGGAAGAAUAACUUGGGCAGCUUUCUCAUCUUCUUCUUGGAAGUUUCCGGAUAUCAUGUGCAUAAGUUUGCUGCUCUGCUCUAUUGUUUUCUCAUUUGAAUCUCAUGUGGCACUGCCUGUUAAUACCUUAUAAACUGAUGGUUACAUUCUGGAAUUUACAAAUUUUCUAACUGCCAAACUGCCCCUCAGACCAAAU